rnacentral:lncRNA from 1 species
CUCCAUCAAAUCACUCGUAGUCUGGGUAUUCGAAGCCCAGGGCAUCCAUUACCCAAUUCAAUCUUUGUUUUUUCUCAACUACUAAAGGCAGUAGUCAUUGUCACACCCGAAUUUAAGGAACAAAGUCGGGUGCAUCUCAUAUAUGCGCCAGAGAAGACACCACAUAUAAUAAUAAAGUGCAUAGAGAUAAAUGUCAUAAAUAUCAUAAAUGUACUUAUUACAUAGCAAAAGUCUUACAAUGAUAAACUAAGCGAACUAAAUAUUAUUCCCUGGCGCCACAAAGCUGACUGAGAGACGCCACCUAGAUCAAGUCGAAAGCCUCAGUGCUAGACGGCUCCUCUUCGACCACCUGUUCUUCUCCUAUGGGGGUGUGAGACAGCAAGAGUGAGCUCACACAUGUUCAUCGCUCAACAAGGUUUAGGGAAUAUUGUGCAUGAAUGUAACACUCCAGGUUCCACAAACAACCCGGUAUGCUACUGUACUACACUUCCGACGUCCAUAUAUAAAAUUUCGGCAGCAUCCCCUUUGCAAGAUUGCAUAAAAGAGGGAGCAACGGAGUAUAAACAUAUAUCAUGACUAAAACAUACUAAGUAUUAUUACUCGGCUAGCAAGGAAAGAUAAACAUACGACCUGAACUGAAUUAACCAGUGCGCACGACCAUAUAAAAAAAUAAACAAACUUCCUUUGACAAUAAGUUUCUAAUUAAAUCAUGGCUGCGCCUGGGCAGCGUUAUUGUGAGAGUGAAAGUGGACGUGCUGCUACUCCUCUCAUUCCCAACAUGUAUCAAGUACCUGCAUUGAGUAAUGCAAGAGUGAGAUGACACAUCUCAGCAAGUAAAAUAAUAUCAAACAGUUUAACCACAUAAGAACAUUGUUUUACCACCACUUAAUUCCACAACCUUCUUAUUACGAAGGUGCAGCACGUAUACAACGUACAACGCACCUAGUUACCACACCUCGCAGGUAGAAACCACAAUAGUAACAUAGUAAUGUCACACUUUAUAUAUUCCUCAUGAGUGCAAAUGUCUGCAAAUGCAAGGAUGACUUCUGCCUUCAUACCUCUAAGGAUAUGAAGCCGCAUCGUACCCCUCCUCGGGCAACGUACGAUGCUAAAAAUGUACCGGUACGGUCGGACCAUAAGAUCACGACAUAACUUCAAAAUGCAAGAUGGAUGAUGCGAUGUGCAUGUCAUGCCUACAACACUUCAUAUAACAUGAUUCAAAAAGACACUUCAACUUCAUCCAGAUGGGAAUCAACCCCAUAUAUCAUUACCAAAUUAUGAUCAUCCACAAUAUUAGACAAUUGAGAAUUAAUACUUCCAAACAAAUAAACUUCAUCAUAGAAUUCAAUGAUUAACAUAAUUAAAACUUAUGCAUACUCAAUGACAGGGAAUAGGAUGCAAACCAAACGGUAGCAACCACCACUGUAUUUACUUGCCUUUACCGGAAGUUCGGGCAAAUCCCAAGUACGAUCCGGAAGCCCAGCACCUGUUUUUGACACCCAACUUAGUACACCAAUUUCACAUAAUCAGGCUCAUAAGCGACGCCGCACCUACGCACAAACUCAAACCCCGCCGCGGGUUACAUCUCUCCCUACACCCACCAAACUGCAGCGGCGCUGCUUAAUAAUUUCAUAACUUUAAAAUUAUGACAGCAGUGGUAACAAACAAAAACUCCAGAGGCAUCUACAUAAAAUUCCCCACAAGUUUUGUAUACAAUUUAUAAUUAAAUUCCAAUAUCUAAUUAGCCCAAAACAGUCCACAAGAUGAACACUGUAAUCUGUUUUUUCUUUGUCUUUUGGACAGCGACAUACCCAGAUUCAAACAGCGAUAUCUUUUAAAAUAUAAUUCCAAAUCAAGCGCAUAAGUACUCAUUGGAAAGAUAAGACAAAUCCCUACAUGAUUACCAUACUGGUUAACACUAAUUACCCACGAAAAAUUCCCAGAAACUGCUAAUACCACUGCUGUUCACCCACCUGAAAAAUCUGUUUUUUUUGGACAGCAACAUAACCGGAUUCAAACAACGAUAUCUCCUGAAUUAUAACUCCGAAUCGAGCACAUAAGUACUUGUUGGAAAGAUAACAUAAAGCCCUACAUGAUUCUCAUACUGAUUAACACUAAUUACUCCCGAAAAAUCCCCAGAAACUGCUAAUACUGCUGCUGUUCAUCCCCCUGAAAAAUCUGUUUUUUUUGGACAGCCACACCCGGAUUCAAACGGUGAUAACUUUCAAUUUAUAACUCCAAAUUGAGCGCAUAAAUACUCGUUGGAAAGGUAAGGUAAAGUUCUACAUGAUCCCCAAACUGAUUUCCCUUAAUUCCUCACGAAAAAAACACAGAAACUGCUAGACUACUGCUGUUCACCCACCACCUAAAAUUCUGGACAGCCCCCCUCUAUCCCAAUCGCAAACGCAACCUCUAAUCAAUUAAAUUGCAGCGCAAAUGAACAAGGGAUGAACACAAAAACCACCUUGGAUUCUCCCCCUUUCCUUCCUCCCUUCUUGCCUCCACCAAAACGAUUGAAGACUCGCACCACAACGACGAUGAUCCGAGCGGCAAGGAUUAGCACCUUGGGAGGAGGGGAUUGAGAGGGGGGGGGGGGCGGCUAGGGUUUGGUGGCUGCAAGAAUUGAGAGAGGAGGAGAUGGGCAGGGGGGCGGCGGCCAAGGGGGAAGAGAAGUGGGGGGGGGGGGGGCGGCUGCACAUGGGGGGAGGGGGUUAGGAGGGAGGCGGCUAGGGUUUGGGAGGGUUAAUGGGCCAAAACUCCAAUUGCGGCCCAACUAACCCACGCGACAGCUCCCGACCGUAAUGCAAGCGUCAAACCAAAUAAAUUCUACUGCCCUAGUUGUGAAUGUUUUCCACAAAAUCCCAAAUCCCCAAAACAACAACCGGAUGAGGAAAAAAAACAAAAAGAACAACCCCCAACUUCUCUUCUUUGCAAACCGGGUAUCACACUCUACCCCUCUUAAAAAGAAUUCGACCUCGAAUUCUGACGCUUCUAUCGGAACAACAAAAGAAAGGUUAAUGAAUCAACAAAACUCACACAUAAAGAAAAGUUCGAGUACUUCUGCCGUAUCAGCUCCUCAAGCUCCUAGGAUUCUAAGAUAUGCAGCAGACGACACUCUAGAGUCUGCUCUUGCUACACAGGAAUCGGCUCUAGCUCGAUUUGAUGGUCUGGAUUCCGCAAAUACUUCCUCAACAAAAAGACAUGGAAUACUUGGUGUACUCUGAUCACAGAUUCCGACAAUUACAUGUGCUAAGCCCAGCUGCCAACUCGGCCAAGAUAGCAGACGGUCUUAUAUACCUCGGACCAAGCUUUCCUGACACCAAAUCAAUCAUUGACAUAUGCAAGUACUUCAAGGAAUGUAUAUAUGAAUGCAAGGCAUAUAAUGUUCCUAUAGGCUAAACCAAACUUAGCCACACAAGAGCAACUUCAAGAGAGCAACUUAAUGCUUGCAUAUUUCUAGAUAGCAGCUCAGCGGUUAAUUGUUUUGCUCCUAACUCACAAAAAUAUGCAUCGAAAAUUAGUAAACUAGGACUUUAUGGAAAACUUAUAAAGUCCACUAUACCCUUGGUAUUAUCAUCACAACAGGAUUUGACACUUAGAAAGGUCAAACAGUGCUAAGCGUAAAUUCUGUCUAGACUUGGACAUAAUUCAACUACUCAAUUCAAAAAUCCAUAAUUGGAGUCUCAAUCAUCCAAUUCAGGUGCUCCCAGACUUUUUAGAAAGCUAGUAGAAUUGUCUAUAAUUCAUUUAUAAACAUAUCAAGUUAAUUCAAUGCAUAUUAAGGUCAAAAGACACGAGAAAGACUCUACUGUCCAAAUUUGGACAGAUUCAGAGAUCACACUUAAAACAGCUGUAACUUAACUUAUAGAUCUCCAAAAAAAAUCAAUCCAAAAUUUGUUGUAACUAUUAAGAAAAGUACUACAACUUAUUUAUAAUUUAUAAUAAGUUAUUCGAAGUUUAAAUUGGGCAAACAAGGUCAGCUUCGAAAUCUGUAUAGAAUCUGCACAGAUUUCAAGACUAGACUUGAGAAAAUCAUAACUCCCAAACUACUAGACCUAUGGUCAUGAAAUUUUUACACAAGUAAGAUAAAUAAGUUGGCUACAACUUUUAUAUAUAACAUCUCUACAGAAAAGAUGGUUUACUUCACUGAACUAGCUGCAUAACUAAAACUGGUCAUGCAGUCCCAAUAGCAAGCAAUAGAUUUUAUCAGGUUCAUUACUCUUCUAAGAUUAAGCGUUCAUUGAAAGACUAAUAACUUUAGGUUCUUCAUUACGAGACACCUAGAACAAAUAUAAGUAUAGAAGCAAUAUGAUAACUUUUUAAAUCAUUUAAGCCUAAUCUCACAUCAUGCAAACAAGAAUCAAUUUAAGCAUGUUAUGUCUGCCCACAUAUUCAUCCAAGCACAUUCUAUACAUGAUAUCAUAACUCCCUGCAGCUAACAAAAUUUUGCAAAUAUAAACUCACUGAAAAGAUUAUAACAUUCCCUAGAACUUUUAUUAUAAUGAGUGUCUCGGAAUUGGUUUCCAAACCGAUAAAACAAUGCAACUCUUUUGUUUCAAAACUGAUAAGAUUGAAACAAUGGACAACUAAAAUUCAAAAACCUAUAACUCCUGCUAUACUCAACUUAAACUACAACGAACACGCGUUGGAAAAGUUUUGAAAAUUGUCCACGACUUUUGCAAUAAAGUUGCACCCAAAUUUAUCCUUAUAGCCCACAACUCUGCAUGACCUACAGCUAAACUCAGCCUGAGAUACUGCACAUUAGAGAUUCGACUUAUAUCCGGGCAACCACCUCUCCAAAUCUAUUUAACAGACAGUUACAAGUAAAUACCCAUUAAAAAGGUACUGAAAAUACCUACAAGUUUUGCUUAAAGAGAAUUCGCAAAUUUGUGCUCUGCAACUAUCAAAACGCGGUCGAUUUAUUGGUGAUUAUAACGACGCCUAAAGUUUAGACACAACAGUGCAACAACUUCAGAGCAACCUAACUCCAAUUAUAUGCAAUGAGAAUUAGAAACCCAUACUCUUUGAAAAGAUCAUGAAAUUACUAAAACUUUCAUAAUCCACAAAGACCAAAUUAUACCGUCUUAAAUGUCUACUCUUCCGUACAAAAUUAAAGACUCACUCUGCUAGAGACACCAACAAAGAUGUUUUAAGAAACCCAUAUCUCUCAAAUGUUUAGACCAAACAUGGUGAUUAAGCAUCCUAUGGAAAGAUGCAGAAACAUACUACAAAACAUUCUAGAUAAGUGAGCCUGAUUCAGCCUCCAACUAAUUUAAAAUGCCUCCCAAAACCAAACAACACAUUAUCAACAAUAAAAAAAACAAUAUAAAAUGAAACCCAAGUCAUUGGAAGGUGCCAUCAACACUAGGAUUUUCCACUACCAAACUGGGAUGCAACUCCACAAAGUAUUUAAAUAAAACUCUACCAAAUAGGUUAGAACACUAAGCACAACAAUCAAUGAAUUCAACAACCUCGUUUGUUAAUGCCACUAAGGUCAAACAUCCAUGUACCAACAAUGUAUGAAACACCUGACAUACCCGUCUCCAGCUCUAUAAAACAUGGUUGUUAUUACACUAGAAUCCAACUACUAGAAAUCUCCAAAACUAUUCUGUUGACGUGAAGCAAAUGGUGCUCAUGUCAUAUAACAUCUUUUCCCCCUCUCAAAAGAGAUAAAAUUUGCAAUACUCAUAAAGCAAUGGAGGGAUAACAACAAGAAAAAACUAAUGUACUUCUUGACACAGACUCAUGCAAAAGCUUCAUAAAUAUUACUUUCAACACUAAAAUAAUAACACGAUACUAUGCUCAACAGGAGUAAUUGGACUUCAAUAAGAUAAUCCACCUAACCCAAUGUAACACCCGAAAUCUUGUUUUGGGGAUUAGUAGAAGAGAUCAAAGUAAAAUAUCAACUAAUGGAUAAUUAUACUUUGGAAUUCACCCUUUCUAAAAUAAAUAGUAAAAUUUAAAGCAAUGAGAGUUAAUAUACAUAUAUAUAAUAAAAGAAUUACAAUUUAUUAUCCCCUUCAAGAAAUAUAUAAACUAUUCUCUUUUGAGUUAAAAUCACUUUUAGAGUUCACAUUAAAUUCUUCCUAAAUUAAAAGGGUAAGAUAUACAUUCAAUAUAAUGACUUCUUUAGAAUAAGUGGAUGUGAAGCAUCUUAUCUAAAUAAAUAAAAUAAAUCUUUGCAUCAUUCUGGGACUAUUUUGGUUGUUUCAUAUAAACUGGACUUUGAAAUUCAAAACAGGUUUGAAUUAGUGACUCAUUUAAAUUUAAAAUAGUUAAAACAAAUAGAAAUUUAAAUUAGAAAAGGAAAAAGGAGAAGGAAACCUGCACCUGGGCCAAAUCUCACCUGUCUCGGCCCAUCUCUCCUCUUUCCCCUCAAACGCACGCCGGCCCAGCUCCCCACUUCCUCACAUCACGCGGGCCGAUCGGUCAUCUUCACGCGCUCGUUUCUGUGUGUCGCUGCCGGAUCGGGCCCACUGAUCAGGACCUCACCCGCGCACACGACUGGCUCCGCUUCCGCGCACUGGUUCGGUCACUGCUGCGUGGGGCCCAGCGGUCGGAAUCGUCCCCUCCCCCUCGCGUCCGCCUAAACUGAACCCCGGGAAUUUCUGCGCGGUGGUCGCUGGGCCGUCCCAACCACCGGCCGGGAUUCCCUCGCGCUAGUGGAUAAAAGGGGAUCCCUCGACCACGCUCGCCAUGCUCGUAUCACCGCGGAUCUCGCCAAUGGAAGCCAGUCCGCCCAGCCGUGUCGACCUGGCCGAUUUUCGCGCCGUCCUCACCGGACCUCCGCUCGGCCGCCGUGCAUGGCGCAACCGACCCUCUCAGCUCGGACUCGCCCCGCCCCUAUAUAACCCGGCUGCUCUAAGCUCCCUUAUCCAUCUCGACGAAUCACCAAGUGAACCAUAGACCGAGGAAGAGAGAAUGCUCGCUGCCAUGGUUGACCUCUGUGCGCGUCAUCGACGAGGCCUUAGUGUCGACUCUGGGUACUUCUCCUCAACACUAGGGGCGCCGCUGAACCCCGGAAUUGCUCACCGGCGAUAGGGCUCCACCGUGGACCCUCCAUGCCGCGUGGGUAGCUAGCUUUGCGUGCCCAACCACCGGUAAGUGAACUUGAACCCUAUCGCCAUUGUCUCAUCUCCGCAUAGCACGUUUCGUUUGUGGAAAAUAAUUGCAGUAGGGCUGGAUUGCCGUUCUCCGGCGUGUUCGCCGCCGCAACCAGGCGAGGUGUCGCCGUGAUUCGGCCGGUGAGAAAGGGGGUGUGCGUGGACCGUUGAUCUGGUUGUGGGUGGUUUUGAUUAAAAGCUACCUUGUUGUUUCGCGGGGAUCAUCUCGUUCGUCAGUCGGUGGAUGAACGGUCGGGGUUGGGUCUCAACGUUUUAAUGGUUGGGUCAAAUCUGGGCCGUGGGCUUUUAAUCCAAAGGUUAAUACAGAUCCAUACCCCUUCGGCUUGCUAUCUUGCAAAAGAGCCCUCCUGGAAUUUGAAAACCAACCCGCAAUCCACGGCAGAGAAACUCUGAGUCUGCGGACUUUUUGUGUUAACGCCCCUGUACUUUCUGAUAAUAUUGCGCCAAGUCCAGAGAACAAUAAAAAUAGAAAAUUGAUUAUAGAAAAUGAUUUUUAAUACAAAAACAAUAUUAGAAACUUGUAUAAUUCCUAGAAACUUCAAAUUAAGUCCAAAUUGAUCCAUUCUAGUUUCUAUAAUUUUGUAAUAAUAUUGUCUAUCAACUAGUAACACUGUUUAGCCAUGAAACUUGAAUUAAAAUUUUUCAUUUGGAUUAAUCUAUUCUAAGCACUAAAUAAUUUCAGAAAUUCAUAACUUAAUAACCGUAGCUCCGAAUUCUGGGGUUCUUGUUUCCACGAUCUCGUAGCAGCGCGUAGAUUAUUAUUAUGCAACUUAUUCUUAUGUUUGGUGUGAUGUUAAUUUUAUCUAUACACUGUUUGUUUGUAUUGCUACGACUAGUGCGAGGUACGAGUUAUCUGAAGAGCAAGUUGGUACUUGGAAUCUCAAGUCCCAGGCAAGUUGUGCCCUUGAUCACUUCUUUUUACCCACUCAUGUUCUAAUUAAUCAUAAUGAUCUGCAUAGGUUAAUUUUGAUGGGACCUAAUAGGUUACCCUAGUUUGUCUAUCUUUAUACCUUGUUUACCACUGAACUUUUUGGGUAGUACUUGCUAGUGCUUUAUGUGGUUUUGGGUAUGAAGAUACAUUAUUCAUGAUCACACUUUUAUUAUCUGUUUAUUAUUACUGUUCAUGAUAAGAUCAUUAUGUUAAUUGGAACAUGGAGCGACCACCCGGGAAAACAGUGCUACCACAAGGGUUUAAUGGGACGCCCUUGGCUGAUUAAUUAGGAAAGCUAGUGGAAGACUACCUUACCCGAAAGGGGCAAGGGCAGUAGGGGAGUGGUCAGUGUAGGGAGGCCCUCGGGAGGAUUUUGCUGCGAUGGCGGUCCUGCAAGGGAUUCCUGCAUUGGAACUUCCUAUAAACUGUAGCGGGUUUUCUGAAGCUAGUGGAACUUUGUAAAGGCCUCGUAGUGUUACCCUGCCUCGCCUCCUCGGUAGAGGUGUAUGGGAAGUCGCGAUCCCUUGGCAGAUGGGUAACAUGACUUGUGGGUAAAGAUGCGCAACCUCUGCAGAGUGUAAAACUGGUAUACUAGCCGUGCUCACGGUCAUGAGCAGCUCGGACCCUCACAUGAUUAAAUUAUGGAACUUAAACUCAAUUUGUCAUAUGCAUUGCAUCGCAGGUGAUGUUAUUACUUUUGUUGUACUACUUAACUGGGUUUGGUAUUUACUUAUACUUAGUAAUUGCUAAUAAAAUUUUGACCAACUUUAAAAGCAAUGCUCAGCUUCAACCAUCCUCUUUGGUAAGCCUUACACUUCACGUGAGCUCCCACCUUUGGCGAGUUCAUGCACAUUAUUCCCCACAACUUGUUGAGCGAUGAACGUAUGUGAGCUCACUCUUGCUGUCUCACACCCCCCCCACAGGUCAAGAGCAGGUACCGCAGGAUGAUGCGCUUGGAGGAUGCUGCGAUGUGUUCGUGAGAGGUCUAGGCCGUCGUCUCCCAGUCAACUUUGGGUUGCUGGACCGUUGUCUCCUUAUAAUGUAAUUAUUUACUUUGUACAAAUCUCCUGUUAUGUAGUAAAGAUGUGACAUUCGAUCCUGUGCCAUGAUUCAUCAUAUGUGUGAGACUUGGUCCCAGCACACCUGGUGAUUAUGUUCGCGCCCGGGUUUUGGACCCCUAAAAUCCGGGUGUGACAGAAGUGGUAUCAGAGGAAUGUUGACUGUAGGACGAAACCUAGAUAGAACUAGAUAACCAUUAUCUACUUACCUUUGCUACUCUGAUUCUUUUCUAAACUUUUCUUAAUCUUUUCUCAUCUAUUUCUGCUUUACUCUGAUAAUUCUUACCUUUUCUUUCUAAAGACAAAUGUGGAUUUCAAACUUUGAAAUCCCGUACCUAAGACGAUCUUUAGGAAUAGGAGACCUACUCGUAGAAAAAAAACUAUUUUAAUAAAUAUUGAUAUGCUUGUUCUUAUGAUGCUUGUCUGAUUUGGAUCUUUGAUUGAGUGUGAUGGGUUGUGGAGUAAUGUCCACAAUUACAUCUGCAUAUACAUAUAGGGAAAAAUACUUAAAAAAUAACUAGAUAAACUAGAUUAUCCCUCAUUUAAGUAUCUAGCCUAACAAUAUCCAUCUCAUCUCGAAAGAUUCUUUCCUACACUCAUAGAUCCAUCUUAUCUCGAAAAGAUUUUAUCUUAUUCUAAAUAGAACUAACUGACCUCAAAAGAUUCUACCUUAUCCGUAUGGAUUCAUCUUGCCCUAAUUAGCAUAUUUAUUCCACUCUAGAAUAACAACCAUGAGCUAAUCCAAAAAAAAACUUAUUUAGAUCUUAACUAGUCUAAUCUAGUCAUAUCCAACUUAAUCUAGAUUCUAUCUAAUCUAUUAUGACCUAAUCUAGAGUAAGUUACUCGAUACUGGUACAAAAGAUAAGGCCAUACCCUAAUCCACUUACGCCUAAAUUGGUGACUUAGAUCAACUCGGCCAUACACAACAAUUUGACCUAUAUUAUAGGUUACAUAACCUAUCCAACAAAUCUAGAAGCAAACAACCAAACCAGAUUCUGACUAAUCUCAAUCAACUCAUAGCUACCUACUAAACCAGCUACUCUACCUUCUAAGUCGUUGCCUACAAAUCUAUCUUAACCUCUUGUCCCUAACCCGGAUGAAGACACCAAGACUUGAGAAGGAGAUCAAACUCGUUGAAGAAUACUAAGAGUCAAGCCAUAUCUCCAAAGAAAGCAAGAUCCACAUUACCCUACUCUUUAAAGACAUCUUUUAUUCUACACAUUAGGUGGCUAUACAUAUACAUGUGCCCAUGCCUUGUUAAUCACCUCUACAGAUGCUAAAACUUCAAAAAAAAGACUUUGCAUAUUUAGACCAAAUAAUAAGAACUAUGCACCGACCUACAAACCAAUCUUUUGUAUCCGUUUUCUUACAAAUCUCGGGGACGAGAUUUUUGUUAAGGGGUAGGAUUUGUAACACCCGAAAUCUUGUUUUGGGGAUUAGUAGAAGAGAUCAAAGUAAAAUAUCAACUAAUGGAUAAUUAUACUUUGGAAUUCACCCUUUCUAAAAUAAAUAGUAAAAUUUAAAGCAAUGAGAGUUAAUAUACAUAUAUAUAAUAAAAGAAUUACAAUUUAUUAUCCCCUUCAAGAAAUAUAUAAACUAUUCUCUUUUGAGUUAAAAUCACUUUUAGAGUUCACAUUAAAUUCUUCCUAAAUUAAAAGGGUAAGAUAUACAUUCAAUAUAAUGACUUCUUUAGAAUAAGUGGAUGUGAAGCAUCUUAUCUAAAUAAAUAAAAUAAAUCUUUGCAUCAUUCUGGGACUAUUUUGGUUGUUUCAUAUAAACUGGACUUUGAAAUUCAAAACAGGUUUGAAUUAGUGACUCAUUUAAAUUUAAAAUAGUUAAAACAAAUAGAAAUUUAAAUUAGAAAAGGAAAAAGGAGAAGGAAACCUGCACCUGGGCCAAAUCUCACCUGUCUCGGCCCAUCUCUCCUCUUUCCCCUCAAACGCACGCCGGCCCAGCUCCCCACUUCCUCACAUCACGCGGGCCGAUCGGUCAUCUUCACGCGCUCGUUUCUGUGUGUCGCUGCCGAAUCGGGCCCACUGAUCAGGACCUCACCCGCGCACACGACUGGCUCCGCUUCCGCGCACUGGUUCGGUCACUGCUGCGUGGGGCCCAGCGGUCGGAAUCGUCCCCUCCCCCUCGCGUCCGCCUAAACUGAACCCCGGGAAUUUCUGCGCGGUGGUCGCUGGGCCGUCCCAACCACCGGCCGGGAUUCCCUCGCGCUAGUGGAUAAAAGGGGAUCCCUCGACCACGCUCGCCAUGCUCGUAUCACCGCGGAUCUCGCCAACGGAAGCCAGUCCGCCCAGCCGUGUCGACCUGGCCGAUUUUCGCGCCGUCCUCACCGGACCUCCGCUCGGCCGCCGUGCAUGGCGCAACCGACCCUCUCAGCUCGGACUCGCCCCGCCCCUAUAUAACCCGGCUGCUCUAAGCUCCCUUAUCCAUCUCGACGAAUCACCAAGUGAACCAUAGACCGAGGAAGAGAGAAUGCUCGCUGCCAUGGUUGACCUCUGUGCGCGUCAUCGACGAGGCCUUAGUGUCGACUCUGGGUACUUCUCCUCAACACCAGGGGCGCCGCUGAACCCCGGAAUUGCUCACCGGCGAUAGGGCUCCACCGUGGACCCUCCAUGCCGCGUGGGUAGCUAGCUUUGCGUGCCCAACCACCGGUAAGUGAACUUGAACCCUAUCGCCAUUGUCUCAUCUCCGCAUAGCACGUUUCGUUUGUGGAAAAUAAUUGCAGUAGGGCUGGAUUGCCGUUCUCCGGCGUGUUCGCCGCCGCAACCAGGCGAGGUGUCGCCGUGAUUCGGCCGGUGAGAAAGGGGGUGUGCGUGGACCGUUGAUCUGGUUGUGGGUGGUUUUGAUUAAAAGCUACCCUGUUGUUUCGCGGGGAUCAUCUCGUUCGUCAGUCGGUGGAUGAACGGUCGGGGUUGGGUCUCAAUGUUUUAAUGGUUGGGUCAAAUCUGGGCUGUGGGCUUUUAAUCCAAAGGUUAAUACAGAUCCAUACCCCUUCGGCUUGCUAUCUUGCAAAAGAGCCCUCCUGGAAUUUGAAAACCAACCCGCAAUACACGGCAGAGAAACUCUGAGUCUGCGGACUUUUUGUGUUAACGCCCCUGUACUUUCUGAUAAUAUUGCGCCAAGUCCAGAGAACAAUAAAAAUAGAAAAUUGAUUAUAGAAAAUGAUUUUUAAUACAAAAACAAUACUAGAAACUUGUAUAAUUCCUAGAAACUUCAAAUUAAGUCCAAAUUGAUCCAUUCUAGUUUCUAUAAUUUUGUAAUAAUAUUGUCUAUCAACUAGUAACACUGUUUAGCCAUGAAACUUGAAUUAAAAUUUUUCAUUUGGAUUAAUCUAUUCUAAGCACUAAAUAAUUUCAGAAAUUCAUAACUUAAUAACCGUAGCUCCGAAUUCUGUGGUUCUUGUUUCCACGAUCUCGUAGCAGCGCGUAGAUUAUUAUUAUGCAACUUAUUCUUAUGUUUGGUGUGAUGUUAAUUUUAUCUAUACACUGUUUGUUUGUAUUGCUACGACUAGUGCGAGGUACGAGUUAUCUGAAGAGCAAGUUGGUACUUGGAAUCUCAAGUCCCAGGCAAGUUGUGCCCUUGAUCACUUCUUUUUACCCACUCAUGUUCUAAUUAAUCAUAAUGAUCUGCAUAGGUUAAUUUUGAUGGGACCUAAUAGGUUACCCUAGUUUGUCUAUCUUUAUACCUUGUUUACCACUGAACUUUUUGGGUAGUACUUGCUAGUGCUUUAUGUGGUUUUGGGUAUGAAGAUACAUUAUUCAUGAUCACACUUUUAUUAUCUGUUUAUUAUUACUGUUCAUGAUAAGAUCAUUAUGUUAAUUGGAACAUGGAGCGACCACCCGGGAAAACAGUGCUACCACAAGGGUUUAAUGGGACGCCCUUGGCUGAUUAAUUAGGAAAGCUAGUGGAAGACUACCUUACCCGAAAGGGGCAAGGGCAGUAGGGGAGUGGUCAGUGUAGGGAGGCCCUCGGGAGGAUUUUGCUGCGAUGGCGGUCCUGCAAGGGAUUCCUGCAUUGGAACUUCCUAUAAACUGUAGCGGGUUUUCUGAAGCUAGUGGAACUUUGUAAAGGCCUCGUAGUGUUACCCUGCCUCGCCUCCUCGGUAGAGGUGUAUGGGAAGUCGCGAUCCCUUGGCAGAUGGGUAACAUGACUUGUGGGUAAAGAUGCGCAACCUCUGCAGAGUGUAAAACUGGUAUACUAGCCGUGCUCACGGUCAUGAGCAGCUCGGACCCUCACAUGAUUAAAUUAUGGAACUUAAACUCAAUUUGUCAUAUGCAUUGCAUCGCAGGUGAUGUUAUUACUUUUGUUGUACUACUUAACUGGGUUUGGUAUUUACAUAUACUUAGUAAUUGCUAAUAAAAUUUUGACCAACUUUAAAAGCAAUGCUCAGCUUCAACCAUCCUCUUUGGUAAGCCUUACACUUCACGUGAGCUCCCACCUUUGGCGAGUUCAUGCACAUUAUUCCCCACAACUUGUUGAGCGAUGAACGUAUGUGAGCUCACUCUUGCUGUCUCACACCCCCCCCCCACAGGUCAAGAGCAGGUACCGCAGGAUGAUGCGCUUGGAGGAUGCUGCGAUGUGUUCGUGAGAGGUCUAGGCCGUCGUCUCCCAGUCAACUUUGGGUUGCUGGACCGUUGUCUCCUUAUAAUGUAAUUAUUUACUUUGUACAAAUCUCCUGUUAUGUAGUAAAGAUGUGACAUUCGAUCCUGUGCCAUGAUUCAUCAUAUGUGUGAGACUUGGUCCCAGCACACCUGGUGAUUAUGUUCGCGCCCGGGUUUUGGACCCCUAAAAUCCGGGUGUGACACCCAACUACUUUGAUUAACCUCACAUACAACAAUACCUCCUAUUAUUGCACUUGAACAAUUUGUACCUAGUGAUGUCAUAGGAUGAAUUCAAAGUAGUAGACAUACAUGAUCUAUCAAACCAUCAUUCAUAUAAUAAAAAUCUCCAUCUAAUGCAACAACCACAUCAUUAUAGAGAUAGAUGACUAACAAACAUAAGCAACUUCCAGUUAAACAUUGACUUUGUUUAAGAUAAAGCGGUCCAAAUAAUAAUUCCACAAGCAUGCAUAGAGAACUGAUCAUAUAAAAAAACUACCAUGUAUCAUCGGCGAUUAAAAACAAUAUAAAACGGGUUGUCCAUAUCGUUCGCAUGACUAGCCUCCAACAAAUAGAAAUUAUGCAUAACCUUUUUGGCUAUAGAAACAAACCAUAGAAGGAAAACAUGCAUGCCUCUUCAACUAUAAUAUAGACAUAAAAUCCACUUGAAAUCACCCUAUUUAUUAUUAAAGAUAAGGUUGCACACAAUAAGAAAACCUAUCGUGUAAACAUGGUUGGACUUAUCUACCCACGUCAUCUUGCAAAUUCACUUGAGUUCUUCUAGUCUCAAGAUUUCAUAGACAGUACAACAUUGCCUUUGCUCUAUGGAGACAAACCUAUUGUACUCUAAGAUCAAGUUGGCAAGUAGCCACACUAGCCAAUAAAAAGGUGAGGUGUAAAGCACUGCACCCAUGGAAAUAUUACAUUGAUAAGUUGGGUUGUAACCCAACAGUCAAUCCAACUCAACAACACCAUAAAACUUCAUUGUAUAGUGUUUUCAAACUACACCAAGUCGGAUUAGAUCCUCUAUACACAAGCUCAAUAAACAAUCGAUCCUACAAGUACUAGAACCCAAGAAUCCUUUUGGGGAAAAAAACAUCCACAGUCAAGCAUAUAGAAAUAUAUGAUGGUAAUAGCUCAGAGAUUAGUAAACAUUGCAUCCCAAAAAACUUCAUGACGAUAUGUAUAUAAAACAAGUACAUUAGUAGCUUCACUCGCAUAAUAAUUUCAAUAACAACCACAUCAAGAAACCAAUAUUAAAUAGAAGUAACAUUUCAUAUCAAGCAUUACGUCGUUAACGACAUACCUCAUCAAACCAUAAAGGGGUUUGAAGUAAGGAAAUUCUAGUCAUCUAUACAAUAAAAUACUAAUAUGAAAGAUAUAUGAACCCAUACCCUUCCUAUAUGUGCAAGUGUGUCAAAUUUAUCUUCAAAUUGCGUAGAAUCUAAAGCCUAUCCUCUGAUACCAACUGUAACACUCCAGGUUCCACAAACAACCCGGUAUGCUACUGUACUACACUUCCGACGUCCAUAUAUAAAAUUUCGGCAGCAUCCCCUUUGCAAGAUUGCAUAAAAGAGGGAGCAACGGAGUAUAAACAUAUAUCAUGACUAAAACAUACUAAGUAUUAUUACUCGGCUAGCAAGGAAAGAUAAACAUACGACCUGAACUGAAUUAACCAGUGCGCACGACCAUAUAAAAAAAAUAAACAAACUUCCUUUGACAAUAAGUUUCUAAUUAAAUCAUGGCUGCGCCUGGGCAGCGUUAUUGUGAGAGUGAAAGUGGACGUGCUGCUACUCCCCUCAUUCCCAACAUGUAUCAAGUACCUGCAUUGAGUAAUGCAAGAGUGAGAUGACACAUCUCAGCAAGUAAAAUAAUAUCAAACAGUUUAACCACAUAAGAACAUUGUUUUACCACCACUUAAUUCCACAACCUUCUUAUUACGAAGGUGCAGCACGUAUACAACGUACAACGCACCUAGUUACCACACCUCGCAGGUAGAAACCACAAUAGUAACAUAGUAAUGUCACACUUUAUAUAUUCCUCAUGAGUGCAAAUGUCUGCAAAUGCAAGGAUGACUUCUGCCUUCAUACCUCUAAGGAUAUGAAGCCGCAUCGUACCCCUCCUUGGGCAACGUACGAUGCUAAAAAUGUACCGGUACGGUCGGACCAUAAGAUCACGACAUAACUUCAAAAUGCAAGAUGGAUGAUGCGAUGUGCAUGUCAUGCCUACAACACUUCAUAUAACAUGAUUCAAAAAGACACUUCAACUUCAUCCAGAUGGGAAUCAACCCCAUAUAUCAUUACCAAAUUAUGAUCAUCCACAAUAUUAGACAAUUGAGAAUUAAUACUUCCAAACAAAUAAACUUCAUCAUAGAAUUCAAUGAUUAACAUAAUUAAAACUUAUGCAUACUCAAUGACAGGGAAUAGGAUGCAAACCAAACGGUAGCAACCACCACUGUAUUUACUUGCCUUUACCGGAAGUUCGGGCAAAUCCCAAGUACGAUCCGGAAGCCCAGCACCUGUUUUUGACACCCAACUUAGUACACCAAUUUCACAUAAUCAGGCUCAUAAGCGACGCCGCACCUACGCACAAACUCAAACCCCGCCGCGGGUUACAUCUCUCCCUACACCCACCAAACUGCAGCGGCGCUGCUUAAUAAUUUCAUAACUUUAAAAUUAUGACAGCAGUGGUAACAAACAAAAACUCCAGAGGCAUCUACAUAAAAUUCCCCACAAGUUUUGUAUACAAUUUAUAAUUAAAUUACAAUAUCUAAUUAGCCCAAAACAGUCCACAAGAUGAACCCUGUAAUCUGUUUUUUCUUUGUCUUUUGGACAGCGACAUACCCAGAUUCAAACAGCGAUAUCUUUUAAAAUAUAAUUCCAAAUCAAGCGCAUAAGUACUCAUUGGAAAGAUAAGACAAAUCCCUACAUGAUUACCAUACUGGUUAACACUAAUUACCCACGAAAAAUUCCCAGAAACUGCUAAUACCACUGCUGUUCACCCACCUGAAAAAUCUGUUUUUUUGGACAGCAACAUAACCGGAUUCAAACAACGAUAUCUCCUGAAUUAUAACUCCGAAUCGAGCACAUAAGUACUUGUUGGAAAGAUAACAUAAAGCCCUACAUGAUUCUCAUACUGAUUAACACUAAUUACUCCCGAAAAAUCCCCAGAAACUGCUAAUACUGCUGCUGUUCAUCCCCCUGAAAAAUCUGUUUUUUUUGGACAGCCACACCCGGAUUCAAACGGUGAUAACUUUCAAUUUAUAACUCCAAAUUGAGCGCAUAAAUACUCGUUGGAAAGGUAAGGUAAAGUUCUACAUGAUCCCCAAACUGAUUUCCCUUAAUUCCUCACGAAAAAAACACAGAAACUGCUAGACUACUGCUGUUCACCCACCACCUAAAAUUCUGGACAGCCCCCUCUAUCCCAAUCGCAAACGCAACCUCUAAUCAAUUAAAUUGCAGCACAAAUGAACAAGGGAUGAACACAAAAACCACCUUGGAUUCUCCCCCUUUCCUUCUUCCCUUCUUGCCUCCACCAAAACGAUUGAAGACUCGCACCACAACGACGAUGAUCCGAGCGGCAAGGAUUAGCACCUUGGGAGGAGGGGAUUGAGAGGGGGGGGGGGGCGGCUAGGGUUUGGUGGCUGCAAGAAUUGAGAGAGGAGGAGAUGGGCAGGGGGGCGGCGGCCAAGGGGGAAGAGAAG